GAAUGAAUCAAUUCCAGCCUCGUACCUGAGGUUGAAUAGAAAUGUAAUUACAUACAGUGACCAAUAGAGACCACCAGAGGCCCAGAAUAUAGAGAUGUGAGAUGAGAACUCAUCACACAUAGUUCAUGGUUGCAUGGGCCCAAGACCCUCAGUCCAUUGUGUGUGUGUGUGUGUGUGUGUCUGAUGGAGGUGUGUGUUUGUGUGUGUGUGUCUGAUGGAGACGUGUGUGUGUGUGUCUGAUGGAGGUGUGUGUUUGUGUGUGUGUGUCUGAUGGAGGUUUGUGUGUGUGUGUGUGUCUGAUGGAGGUGUGUGUUUGUGUGUGUGUGUCUGAUGGAGGUGUGUGUUUGUGUGUGUGUGUCUGAUGGAGGUUUGUGUGUGUGUGUGUCUGAUGGAGGUGUGUGUGUGUGUGUGUGUGUGUGUCUGAUGGAGGUGUGUGUUUGUGUGUGUGUGUCUGAUGGAGGUGUGUGUUUGUGUGUGUGUGUGUCUGAUGGAGACGUGUGUGUGUGUCUGAUGGAGGUGUGUGUUUGUGUGUGUGUGUGUCUGAUGGAGGUUUGUGUGUGUGUGUGUCUGAUGGAGGUGUGUGUUUGUGUGUCUGAUGGAGGUGUGUGUUUGUGUGUGUGUGUGUCUGAUGGAGGUGUGUGUGUGUGUGUGUGUGUGUGUGUGUGUGUGUGUGUGUGUGUGUGUGUGUGUGUGUGUGUGUGUGUGUGUGUGUCUGAUGGAGGUGUGUGUUUGUAUGUGUGUGUCUGAUGGAGGUGUGUGUUUGUGUGUGUGUGUCUGAUGGAGGUGUGUGUUUGUGUGUGUGUGUCUGAUGGAGGUGUGUGUUUGUGUGUGUGUGUCUGAUGGAGGUGUGUGUUUGUGUGUGUGUGUGUGUGUCUGACAGAGGUUUGUGUGUGCAUGUGUUCAGUGGUGUCUGAGUAAAGCAUUCUGGGCAUAGAUGAAGAGAGCCUAAGGAGUGGGUAGUGUGGGGAAGGGGGAGCUACAGGAGAUCAUUGUUAGCGAAGGAGGAGUUGGCACUGAGAGAGAGAGAACUAUUUUUGACACUACUUGUUAACACAUAUUGCCCCUAACCACAACAUUUUAUCUUAUAGAAUUAUCGUAGUUUAGUGUGAACGCUGUAUGUGUAACCUUUCAGUUGUGUGUGUCAGAGGGAGGGAGAGUAAAGGAGAGAGAAUGUGUGUGACUAGUCUGGUAAGCAUGAGUUGGCCGGUAUAAUUGUAUUCUCUCCUCCCUGGCAUAGGCAACGUUCUGCGUUUCAUAUGAG
rnacentral:lncRNA from 1 species